CAAUAGCGUAUAUUAAAGUUGUUGCAGUUAAAAAGCUCGUAGUUGGAUUUGUGGCGUACGGUGUGUUCCGGGCACUUGUUGUCUGAGUAACCUGCUGUUGCCAUCCUUGGGUGGAACCUGUGUGGCAUUAGGUUGUCGUGCAGGGGAUGCCCAUCAUUUACUGUGAAAAAAUUAGAGUGUUCAAAGCAGGCUUAUGCCGUUGAAUAUAUUAGCAUGGAAUAAUGAGAUAGGACUUUUUUGCUAUUUUGUUGGUUUGCGCAAAGAGGUAAUGAUUAAUAGGGACAGCUGGGGGUAUUCGUAUUCCAUUGUCAGAGGUGAAAUUCUUGGAUUUUUGGAAGACGAACUACUGCGAAAGCAUUUACCAAGGAUGCUUUCAUUAA
rnacentral:rRNA from 1 species